rnacentral:tRNA from 1 species
AUUUAAAUAGUUUAAUUAAAAUAUUGGCUUGUGAUGUCAAAGAUAUAGUUUUAUUUUAAAUA